rnacentral:rRNA from 1 species
GCACCAGUGGGGAAUAUUGGGCAAUGGAGGAAACUCUGACCCAGCGACGCCGCGUGCGGGAUGAAGGCCUUCGGGUUGUAAACCGCUUUCAGCAGGGAAGAAGCGAAAGUGACGGUACCUGCAGAAGAAGCACCGGCUAACUAUGUGCCAGCAGCCGCGGUAAUACAUAGGGUGCAAGCGUUGUCCGGAAUUAUUGGGCGUAAAGAGCUCGUAGGUGGUUCGUCACGUCGGAUGUGAAAAUCUGGGGCUCAACCCCAGACCUGCAUUCGAUACGGGCGAGCUGGAGUUUGGUAGGGGAGACUGGAAUUCCUGGUGUAGCGGUGGAAUGCGCAGAUAUCAGGAGGAACACCAAUGGCGAAGGCAGGUCUCUGGGCCAAUACUGACACUGAGGAGCGAAAGCGCGGGGAGCGAACAGGAUUAGAUACCCCCGUAGUCCG